CCUACGGGUGGCAGCAGUGGGGAAUAUUGCACAAUGGGGGGAACCCUGAUGCAGCAACGCCGCGUGGGUGAAGAAGUACUCAGGUAUGUAAAGCCCUGUCAGCAGGGAAGAUAAUGACGGUACCUGACCAAGAAGCACCGGCUAACUACGUGCCAGCAGCCGCGGUAAUACGGAGGGUGCAAGCGUUAUCCGGAUUUACUGGGUGUAAAGGGAGCGUAGACGGCAAGGUAAGUCUGGAGUGAAAGCCCGUGGCUCAACCACGGGACUGCAUUUGAAACUGUGUGGCUGGAGUGCAGGAGGGGUAGGCGGAAUUCCUGGUGUAGCGGUGAAAUGCGUAGAUAUUAGGAGGAACACCCGUGGCGAAGGCGACCUACUGGAAUGUAACUGACGUUGAGGCUCGAAGGCGUGGGGAGCAAACAGGAUUAGAUACCCCAGUAGUC
rnacentral:rRNA from 1 species